GAACGCUGGCGGCAUGCCUUACACAUGCWAGUCGAACGGCAGCACGGGAGCAAUCCUGGUGGCGAGUGGCGAACGGGUGAGUAAUACAUCGGAACGUGUCCUGUAUUGGGGGAUAGCCCGGCGAAAGCCGGAUUAAUACCGCAUACGCUCUACGGAGGAAAGGGGGGGAUCUUANGACCUCCCGCUACAGGGGCGGCCGAUGGCAGAUUANCUAGUUGGUGGGGUAAAGGCCUACCAAGGCGACGAUCUGUAGCUGGUCUGAGAGGACGACCAGCCACACUGGGACUGAGACACGGCCCAGACUCCUACGGGAGGCAGCAGUGGGGAAUUUUGGACAAUGGGGGAAACCCUGAUCCAGCAAUGCCGCGUGUGUGAAGAAGGCCUUCGGGUUGUAAAGCACUUUUGUCCGGAAAGAAAACCUCUGGGUUAAUACCCCGGGGGGAUGACGGUACCGGAAGAAUAAGCACCGGCUAACUACGUGCCAGCAGCCGCGGUAAUACGUAGGGUGCAAGCGUUAAUCGGAAUUACUGGGCGUAAAGCGUGCGCAGGCGGUCCGCUAA
rnacentral:rRNA from 1 species